rnacentral:rRNA from 1 species
AACGAACGCUGGCGGCGCGCCUAAUACAUGCAAGUCGAGCGAGAAGACGUAGCAAUACGUUUGUAAAGCGGCGAACGGGUGGGGAAUACAUGGGUAACCUACCCUCGAGUGGGGAAUAACUAGCCGAAGGUUAGCUAAUACCGCGUACGCUCCUUGGACUUCGGUUCAGGGAGGAAAGCGAUACCGUGGGUAUCGCGCUCUUGGAUGGGCUCAUGUCCUAUCAGCUUGUUGGUGAGGAACGGCUCACCAAGGCUUCGACGGGUAGCUGGCCUGAGAGGACAAUCAGCCACACUGGCACUGCGACACGGGCCAGACUCCUACGGGAGCAGCAGGUAAGGAAUAUUGCGCAAUGGGCAAAGCCUGACGCAGCGACGCCGCGUGGGGGAUGAAGGUC